UAGCUCAGAAACAAUAUUGAAGUUCAUUGGUUUAAUUUUGAAAUGUUGAUGUUUUUUGUGUUGAUUGUUUGUGCUCAUUUUGACCUUUGUUACUAUUACUUUCUACCAUGUUCAAUUCACCAUUGUUCUGCACAUAUGUGCUUGCAUGUGUCCAGUGGUUAUAUUCAUGAGGCAUUCAAGGGACUUGUACUAAAAGAUACAACUCAGUUCAGUAUGAAUUGCAUAUUUUAAUGGCUGAAAAUAUAUCUGAUCUCUUUCAGAACAUCACCUGUCUGUAAUCCACCUGCGUAAGUACUGGUCAAGGGGCUCAUCGGCUAUCAAGUUAUAGAUUUCAGUGGCUAAUAGAAGACACUGCUGAGGUCAGACGAGAGUGCAUCCUCAAAGGUCUGUGUGUACCUAAAUGAAGAUCCAGAGAAGCUGGUGAGGGAGUACAUGGACGUUGAUGAAUGCGCAGAAAUGGCCAAAGCCGAGGCUGUCCUCGGAAUCGUCAUUUGAGCAGAGGGUGCAGAGGCUGCCGAUGCACAUCUGGAUGUUGGGAUUGUCCUGGAGGAGGUGGAAGUUAUGAACAGCUUGGGCAGUGUAUCUUCUGCAAUAGUGAUGCUGCUGGGACUAAUCUAUGCACUAAACUUGAGCUACCCUCAAGUUUAGUGCGUUCAGCACUCAACUUGCUCAGUAACUCAAGCAUACCUUUGAAGUAAUACAGAAAAUAAUAAUGAAAUUGGAUGGAAAGAACUUAUCAAAGAAAGCACAAGUUCUCAAUAUGAAACUCGCUGCUAAGUUGAGCAAAGUUUCAUAUGGAAAAUGAGUGUUUAAAGUCUGCAGUAGAAAGAUUUAUAUUGUUACAGUUCUCUAAGUUGAGCAACUAUACUGACAUGUUUUAUGUUGUAAAGAAUUGGCUGGGAAAUGAAACUGUAACCUUUUUGUAGUUGUUUUUUUAUUUCAAUGUCCAACUCAGCUGUGUUUUGU